rnacentral:rRNA from 1 species
GUGGGGAAUUUUGGACAAUGGGCGAAAGCCUGAUCCAGCCAUGCCGCGUGAUAGAUGAAGGCCCUCUGGGUUGUAAAUAUCUUUUAUCUGGGAAGAAACUCCUCUAUUCUUAGAGGCCUGACGGUACCAGAGGAAUAAGCACCGGCUAACUCCGUGCCAGCAGCCGCGGUAAUACGGAGGGUGCAAGCGUUAUCCGGAUUCACUGGGUUUCAAGGGUGCGUAGGCGGGUGGAUAAGUCAGUGGUGAAAGCUCCGGGCUUAACUUGGAAACUGCCAUUGAUACUGUCAAUCUUGAAUGUCGUAGAGGUAAGCGGAAUGUUGCAUGUAGCGGUGAAAUGCUUAGAUAUGUUACAGAACACCAAUUGCGAAGGCAGCUUACUAUGCGAUAAUUGACGCUGAGGCACGAAAGCGUGGGGAGCAAACAGGAUUAGAUACCCUAGUAGUCC